UUUUCGUAGGUGAACCUGCGGAAGGAUCAUUG
rnacentral:rRNA from 3 species